CAGGAGGUAGUUUAAUUAAAAUCUUGGCUUUGGGAGCCAAGGAUGAGGAUUAAUUUUCCUCCUUCUUGA
rnacentral:tRNA from 1 species